rnacentral:rRNA from 1 species
UGGGGAAUUUUGGACAAUGGGCGAAAGCCUGAUCCAGCAAUGCCGCGUGUGUGAAGAAGGCCUUCGGGUUGUAAAGCACUUUUGUCCGGAAAGAAAUCCUUGGCUCUAAUACGGUCGGGGGAUGACGGUACCGGAAGAAUAAGCACCGGCUAACUACGUGCCAGCAGCCGCGGUAAUACGUAGGGUGCAAGCGUUAAUCGGAAUUACUGGGCGUAAAGCGUGCGCAGGCGGUUUGCUAAGACCGAUGUGAAAUCCCCGGGCUCAACCUGGGAACUGCAUUGGUGACUGGCAGGCUAGAGUAUGGCAGAGGGGGGUAGAAUUCCACGUGUAGCAGUGAAAUGCGUAGAGAUGUGGAGGAAUACCGAUGGCGAAGGCAGCCCCCUGGGCCAAUACUGACGCUCAUGCACGAAAGCGUGGGGAGCAAACAGGAUUAGAUACCCUGGUAGUCCACGCCCUAAACGAUGUCAACUAGUUGUUGGGGAUUCAUUUCCUUAGUAACGUAGCUAACGCGUGAAGCUGACCGCCUGGGGAGUACGGUCGCAAGAUUAAAACUUAAAUGAAUUGACGGGGUCAUAGCUGUUCCU